UGGAUCCAGACUUUGAUUCUGGCUCAGGACGAACGCUGGCGGCGUGCCUAACACAUGCAAGUCGAACGAAGCUUGAUUUCUGAAUUCCUCGGAAUGAAGAAUGAUAUGACUGAGAGGCGGACGGGUGAGUAACGCGUGAGUAACCUGCCCUUAGGAAAGGGAUAGCGUCUGGAAACGGACGGUAAUACCAUAUAAAGUAUAUUAACGGCAUCGUAGAUAUACCAAAGCUGAGGCGCCUAAGGAUGGACUCGCGUCUGAUUAGAUAGUUGGUGGGGUAGCGGCCUACCAAGUCGACGAUCAGUAGCCGGACUGAGAGGUUGAACGGCCACAUUGGGACUGAGACACGGCCCAGACUCCUACGGGAGGCAGCAGUGGGGAACAUUGCACAAUGGGCGAAAGCCUGAUGCAGCAACGCCGCGUGAAGGAAGACGGUUUUCGGAUUGUAAACUUCUGCUCUUAGUGAAGAAAAAUGACGGUAGCUAAGGAGCAAGCCACGGCUAACUACGUGCCAGCAGCCGCGGUAAUACGUAGGUGGCAAGCGUUGUCCGGAAUUACUGGGUGUAAAGGGAGCGUAGGCGGGAAGCCAAGUCAGCUGUGAAAACUACGGGCUUAACCUGUAGACUGCAGUUGAAACUGGCUUUCUUGAGUGAAGUAGAGGUUGGCGGAAUUCCGAGUGUAGCGGUGAAAUGCGUAGAUAUUCGGAGGAACACCGGUGGCGAAGGCGGCCAACUGGGCUUUAACUGACGCUGAGGCUCGAAAGUGUGGGGAGCAAACAGGAUUAGAUACCCUGGUAGUCCACACUGUAAUCGAUGAUAACUAGGUGUGGGGGGUCUGACCCCUUCCGUGCCGCAGCUAACGCAAUAAGUUAUCCACCUGGGGAGUACGACCCCAAGGUUGCAACUCAAAUGAAUUGACGGA
rnacentral:rRNA from 1 species